rnacentral:rRNA from 1 species
GCAGACACUCCUACGGGAGGCAGCAGUGGGGAAUAUUGCACAAUGGGCGCAAGCCUGAUGCAGCCAUGCCGCGUGUAUGAAGAAGGCCUUCGGGUUGUAAAGUACUUUCAGCAGUGAGGAAGGUGGGUAUGGUUAAUAGCAUACUCAUUUGACGUUAGCUGCAGAAGAAGCACCGGCUAACUCCGUGCCAGCAGCCGCGGUAAUACGGAGGGUGCGAGCGUUAAUCGGAAUUACUGGGCGUAAAGCGCAUGCAGGUGGUUUGUUAAGUCAGAUGUGAAAGCCCGGGGCUCAACCUCGGAAUUGCAUUUUGAAAACUGGCAAACUAGAGUACUGUAGAGGGGGGUAGGAAUUUCAGGUGUAGCGGUGAAAUGCGUAGAGAUCUGAAGGAAUACCGGUGGCGAAGGCGGCCCCCUGGACAGAUACUGACACUCAGAUGCGAAAGCGUGGGGAGGCAAACAGGAUUAGAUACCCUGGUAG